rnacentral:misc_RNA from 1 species
AACUUCCACCUGGCAUACCUCUUCAGUCUUGUGUCAAUGCUUGUAUUGCAUUGAAUGCACGGUGGGUUUCUUGUGUUGCAUACCUAAUUUAAUGGUAUUGCUUGAUGUAUUGGUUUUCCUUUCGUUUUGCAUUGCCUAUGCGAUGUGAGAUGAACCUUGAAGCAGCCUUUGUGAUCCACUGAUUUGAUGUAUAUGCAUUGAUUUUGUGGCCCAUUGAGUGUUGCUCGGUCUCAUGGAUAUGGAACCUGGUGUGGGCAUGGAAUCUUAAUGGUUCCUUGUUUGCCCAAGUUUAGCUUUUCUAAAACGAUUGUCUAUCAUGUGUUAACAUGCUAGACUACUUCGGAUAUGAAUGCUACCUGGUUGAUCCUGCCAGUAGUCAUAUGCUUGUCUCAAAGAUUAAGCCAU